UUCAGUGCCGUCAAGAAUUGAUUAACAGCAAAGUUUGAGCAGUUUAUUGCAUUGUAGAACUACUAUCACUUCUGUAAACAGAGUGAAAAGAUGUUUGCUAAACACAAGUGCCCUUCUGCAAUCUUAAUUCUGAAAGGGUCAUUGAGGGUUUUUGUUAAACAUCCUGCUGCAGAGCAUGUGUAGGCAGCAGGGAGAGAAGCAAGUAGCAUGUGGUGGCUUGUAAGCACCGCCGGGGCUAGGAAGGAGACUUUUCUACACCAACCCUAAACUCGGCCACUUUCCCUAAUCAACUGACUUUUCUUCCCCAGCAUCAGUUUCAGAAAAUCCUUUGGGGGCACCUCCUUUCUUUGUCCGCCAGAAGGAGAAAUGGUGUCUCAAGCCUGCGAGACUUUGCAGAAGGAGAAUGGGAAGAGCAGAAGGGUGCCAGUGCAGAUGUGGAGACCUGGAGUAUGCAGUGGGUGGUCAGAGCCCGUCUAGACUGGGAGGGAGUAUGGUGCUGGCCAACAGGUUGAAAAUGUCUAGUGUUACAUGAGUCAUUUUGACUUCAUGUUGUCCCCCUCUUAGGGAAAGCUGAGGCUUUUGACAAAACAACCUGAUCUGUGCUAAAAUGUUUGAUGCUGUCUGAACCGGACUUGGCACACGUCAAGGAUUAAUGCUGCAUUGAAUUUGCCCAGUAACUUUAAAAGUAAGAUGUGCCUGUCUGAAAAUCGUCUCGUGGAUGUUGGGUCUGAUACUCUUAAGUCAGUUCAGAAGACCUUGGCCUCCUCUUUUCCCAGGAGGUUCAUGCUGGGACUUGGAGAGUGUCUGCAGACGCUGGUGGUGGUUAGCUGUCUGACAAGAGUGGAGUUUGGAGCACAGUAACGGGCGAGGGGGCUCUUCUGACCUUGUGCAGCAAGACCUCGUUUAAUAUGCAAGUAGCAGCCCCUGCUUGUGAAGGUCUUUUCGUUGGGUCACUCGUGAAUUGGGGGGGACUUUGGAGUUCUGGAGGCACCGUCCCUCUGCUCUCGUGUGGGUGGUCUGCCCUGGCCUGCCGCUUUUCUUUUGAGCUAAAAAGUCCGAUUGCUUCAUGGCCGUGCAAUGACUUAUGCUUAUGUUGACAGUAUAAUUCCUGCUCAGCGUGCCAGAAGGGUAAUAGAAACCAUACUUGAUAAAACAGCACCACAGACCUGAAAGCUAAGUGGCUGAAAUGUAAUCCUGACUACUGGUCAAGAUAGUUAUAGUAGUCAAAAUAACUUAUUAUUCUUGGCAUGCACUGUUCUGUUGGUGAUAACUUGUUUUCCAAAAUCCAGCAGCAGAAGUACCUCAGGGUUUAGAGGGGCAGGAACGCUUCCUCCUGUCUCCUACCUAUUCCUACUUUUUAAAUCAACAUGUAGAAAAUGUUUAUCAGUCGCAGUGAAAAAUUAAAACUCAUUAGUCAGUGCUGCUCUCGCUCUGCCAGCAACAGCAUGUGUUGCUUUCAGCUGUUCCGGACCUCGUCUGCUGUGUCUGCUGUGUCUGCAUGGGCACGGCGAGCUGCCCGAGACUGGCAGGACGCAGAAUUGUCUUUGUUUGUUUGCAGAUGUUGAUGUUGAAAAUCAGACUAGCCUGGUUGUCUUAAUUUGCUCGGAAGAUCGUUGGCUGUUGCUGUAGAUACAAAAACAACUUACUUGGGACAACUUGGGGAAUUAAUAGAUUUGUAGUUCUGCAAACUGAGGUUUAAUCUUUGUAGCCUGCUUAACCUCCUGGGUUGCUUUUUUAAGUCUCUGGGGAGUUGUGCUCUGCUGGGUCUUCCACAUUAGCAGCUUGGUCACAGCGUAAAGAGUUAUCGGCUGUCUGCCCGUUCCCGAUAACUGACAGAUGCAUGUUGUUCUUCUGGGCCGAGUGCAAGGAAAUGUGAUUUUGGCCAAGAAAGCUCCAUGGGCAGUUACCCUGGCUCAGCUGAGAGGCAGCGAUGUGCUAAAUGCUGACUGCAUCGGGAGCUGAAGGAUGUUGUUGGGGUCCCUCUGAGCUGUAUUGAUGGGAGCUUGCAUUGGUCAGAUGGUAACAGCUUCAAACAAAGCUAAUAAACUACAUUUUUACCUGCAGCUGAGGGACUCCAAGAUACGGGGCCAUUACUGAUUUCACCCACAGCAAUGCAGAAUUUAUAUUUGUGAAAUGAAGGGGCAGGUGGGCUUCUCUCUUUCUGUGUAACAGUGGUUGAUAAUGUUUCAUUUUGUUUUGUUU